AGGACGAACGCUGGCGGCGUGCUUGACACAUGCAAGUCGAGCGGUAAGGCCCUUUCGGGGGUACACGAGCGGCGAACGGGUGAGUAACACGUGAGCAAUCUGCCCUUCACUUCGGGAUAAGCCUCGGAAACGGGGUCUAAUACCGGAUAUGACUGCGCCAUGCAUGUGGUGUGGUGGAAAGUUCUGGCGGUGAGGGAUGGGCUCGCGGCCUAUCAGCGUU
rnacentral:rRNA from 1 species